CUCUGUUGUUAGGGAAGAACAAGUGCCGUUCAAAUAGGGCGGCACCUUGACGGUACCUAACCAGAAAGCCACGGCUAACUACGUGCCAGCAGCCGCGGUAAUACGUAGGUGGCAAGCGUUGUCCGGAAUUAUUGGGCGUAAAGGGCUCGCAGGCGGUUUCUUAAGUCUGAUGUGAAAGCCCCCGGCUCAACCGGGGAGGGUCAUUGGAAACUGGGGAACUUGAGUGCAGAAAAGGAGAGUGGAAUUCCACGUGUAUCGGUGAAAUGCGUAGAGAUGUGGAGGAACACCAGUGGCUAAAGCCACUCUCUGGUCUGUAACUGACCCUAAUGAGCAAAAACCUGGGGAGCGAAAAGGAUUAGAUUCCCUGGUAGUCCACGCCAUACACCAUGAGUGCUAAGUGUUAGGGGGUUUCCGCCCCUUAGUGGUGCAGCUAACUCAUUAAGCACUCCGCGGGGGGAAUACAGUCGCGAGAUUGAAACUCAGAGGAAUUGACGGUGGGCCCCCACAUGAAGGGGAGCUUGUGGUUUAAUUCCAAACAACUCUAAGAAACCUAAAACGUCUUGACAUCCUCUGACAAUCCUCCAGAUAAGAUUCCCCCUUCGGGGGG
rnacentral:rRNA from 1 species